rnacentral:rRNA from 1 species
AGGGAUCAUUACUGAGUUUACGCUCUAUAACCCUUUGUGAACAUACCUAUAACUGUUGCUUCGGCGGGUAGGGUCUCCGCGACCCUCCCGGCCUCCCGCCUCCGGGCGGGUCGGCGCCCGCCGGAGGAUAACCAAACUCUGAUUUAACGACGUUUCUUCUGAGUGGUACAAGCAAAUAAUCAAAACUUUUAACAACGGAUCUCUUGGUUCUGGCAUCGAUGAAGAACGCAGCGAAAUGCGAUAAGUAAUGUGAAUUGCAGAAUUCAGUGAAUCAUCGAAUCUUUGAACGCACAUUGCGCCCGCCAGCAUUCUGGCGGGCAUGCCUGUUCGAGCGUCAUUUCAACCCUCAAGCUCUGCUUGGUGUUGGGGCCCUACAGCUGAUGUAGGCCCUCAAAGGUAGUGGCGGACCCUCCCGGAGCCUCCUUUGCGUAGUAACUUUACGUCUCGCACUGGGAUCCGGAGGGACUCUUGCCGUAAAACCCCCCAAUUUUCCAAAGGUUGACCUCGGAUCAGGUAGGAAUACCCGCUGAACUUAA